AUACGGAGGGAGCAAGCGUUACUCGGAAUCACUGGGCGUAAAGGAUGCGUAGGCGGAUAAUCAAGUCAAAAGUGAAAUCCCACGGCUUAACCGUGGAGCUGCUUUCGAAACUGGUUAUCUAGAAUAUGGAAGAGGCAGAUGGAAUUAGUGGUGUAGGGGUAAAAUCCGUAGAGAUCACUAGGAAUACCGAUUGCGAAGGCGAUCUGCUGGGACAUUAUUGACGCUGAGGCAUGAAAGCGUGGGGAGCAAACAGGAUUAGAUACCCCGGUAGUCC
rnacentral:rRNA from 1 species